UUGAAGAGAAAUCAACAAGAUUUAGCAAACCAUUUCAACAAAAGAGUGAACUUGGCUUCUCUUCUUUCGGGACAAAAGUAACUACCUCUUAACUAAUUAGAAACUACUAAUUAACAAAACAACAUCCUUCAAAUACGUACUUUAACCAUCGCAAAGCUCUGGAAAUAGAUCACAUUUUUAGUUUAAUUCUCUUUAAUCCAACUUUAUGGCAUGCUUCCAGGUACAGGUUCAAGAGGAUUUUGACCUUCCUCAAUACCAGUAGAAGCAAAAUGGUUAAUAAGGUCGGGGCAUGGGGAUAUAUCCUCCACUCGAAUAACGACAAGUAAUUGUACUAUUGAAAUUAAAGCUGUGGGCUCUCAUUGAAAACAAAAAAAAGUUGUGGGCGACGUUUGAAACUAAUAACUUAAUUACUCUUUUAGCAUGUUAAAAGGUUAUUGCCAAAACAUGAAAGGCGAUCGGUGAAUCGUCAACGCUGUACGUUACUGCACUAAUAUUUUUGUUCAACUCGGCCAAGCCUGCAUAAUUUACAACAACAUAGAAAAUUCAAUAUGCCGAUCCAGGCUUUCUUUUCAUUCUCGUGCCUGCAUGAAACUAACUGUUGGAUAAGAAGAUUAGUGCUCAUCCACCGCAUCCAGCGCCACAACCAGCGCCGCAUCCAGCUGCACAGGUGGAACCAUAGGUAUCCGCAUGGGUAGCGGAGGCUUUCUCUUUGGAUGUGCCGCCGGCACAUGAGAAUAUGAUUGCUGUAACGAGAGAAAGGGCUGCUAAAACUGCCCAGAACAUUAAAACAGCACUGCUCAAGUCUUCAGUGCUUGCCCCUCUGUCAGCUCGAACCAUCUCUUUUAGAAAUAAGAUGCAGUUGCCUUGCAAACGUCAAUGGUGAAGAAGCUUUGGCGUUAGAUGGUCGUUUAUUUAAAAGACUCGACUUUUAAGGUUAGACUUUAAGGGCAGAGUUGGCGUCAAUAGUGGUGGCCUCUGACUCUCAGCUUUCACAAAUGCUAUUUUGGCGCUUCAUAGAAUGGAGGGGCUCUUUGGUAAAAG
rnacentral:lncRNA from 1 species